AUUGAACGCUGGCGGCAGGCCUAACACAUGCAAGUCGAGCGGAUGAAGGGAGCUUGCUCCUGGAUUCAGCGGCGGACGGGUGAGUAAUGCCUAGGAAUCUGCCUUGUAGUGGGGGAUAACGUCCGGAAACGGGCGCUAAUACCGCAUACGUCCUGAGGGAGAAAGUGGGGGAUCUUCGGACCUCACGCUAUCAGAUGAGCCUAGGUCGGAUUAGCUAGUUGGUGGGGUAAAGGCCUACCAAGGCGACGAUCCGUAACUGGUCUGAGAGGAUGAUCAGUCACACUGGAACUGAGACACGGUCCAGACUCCUACGGGAGGCAGCAGUGGGGAAUAUUGGACAAUGGGCGAAAGCCUGAUCCAGCCAUGCCGCGUGUGUGAAGAAGGUCUUCGGAUUGUAAAGCACUUUAAGUUGGGAGGAAGGGCAGUAAGUUAAUACCUUGCUGUCUUGACGUUACCAACAGAAUAAGCACCGGCUAACUUCGUG
rnacentral:rRNA from 1 species